GAUCAUUCAGAAGGUUUGCUUUCUGGGUUACAUGCGGAGAACGUAGUUUCUCAACGAUCGCCCAGGGAAAAGUCCCCGGACCCGAGGCAGAAAGUGCCCUGGCGUGAGGCCAGAAACGGCUCGUGUCUCCCCGCUACAGCAAAGACGCUCAUCUGGAGCAGAGCUCGGGGAUUAAUCACUUGUCGUCUUUGUCAGGAACAAGAGAAAUGCAGGCAUGCGCAGUGUAACAGAACGGGGCUCACUCUCUGAAUGCU
ensembl:ribozyme RNase_MRP RNase MRP